AUUGAACGCUGGCGGCAUGCCUUACACAUGCAAGUCGAACGGUAACAGGUCUUCGGAUGCUGACGAGUGGCGAACGGGUGAGUAAUACAUCGGAACGUGCCUAGUAGUGGGGGAUAACUACUCGAAAGAGUGGCUAAUACCGCAUGAGAUCUACGGAUGAAAGCAGGGGACCGCAAGACCUUGUGCUACUAGAGCGGCCGAUGGCAGAUUAGGUAGUUGGUGGGAUAAAAGCUUACCAAGCCGACGAUCCGUAGCUGGUCUGAGAGGACGAUCAGCCACACUGGGACUGAGACACGGCCCAGACUCCUACGGGAGGCAGCAGUGGGGAAUUUUGGACAAUGGGCGAAAGCCUGAUCCAGCAAUGCCGCGUGCAGGAUGAAGGCCUUCGGGUUGUAAACUGCUUUUGUACGGAACGAAAAGCCCCGGGUUAAUACCCCGGGGUCAUGACGGUACCGUAAGAAUAAGCACCGGCUAACUACGUGCCAGCCGCCGCCGUAA
rnacentral:rRNA from 1 species